UACGGAGGGUGCAAGCGUUAUCUGGAUUCACUGGGUUUAAAGGGUGCGUAGGCGGGUAUAUAAGUCAGUGGUGAAAGCUCCGGGCUUAACUUGGAACUGCCAUUGAUACUGUAUAUCUUGAAUGUCGUUGAGGUUAGCGGAAUGUUGCAUGUAGCGGUGAAAUGCUUAGAUAUGUUACAGAACACCAAUUGUGAAGACAGCUAACUAAGCGAUGAUUGACGCUGAGGCACGAAAGCGUGGGGAGCAAACAGG
rnacentral:rRNA from 1 species